UUUUUAAAUGACACGGCUUGGUCCUAUACAAAAACGAACCGGACGAACACUUUAGUCACCGGUAAUGGCCUCAGGUGCAAAUUCCUCGUCAAAGCCGUUAAAAAGCCAAACUUAUUGGACGACUACAGCAAGACGGAACCCUCAAACCUUCAGCGUGAAACAGUUUAUUUAUGUGAGCACUAGUCGGCCGUAGCGGAUAAAUACAGAAAAAGCGAUAAUAGAUUGCUAUCGCUUUGGUUGGACAUUGGUACCGCCACGGGUGGAUCUCGGCUUCAACACGAAUAUACUCACGACGACUAUGUUUAUGCCGUGCUAUCAGCAAACGUUGUCAACUUUACCAUCGUCGAUAAAAACCAAUACGUCGAAAUUACAUUGUUAGUAGAAGGCGUA